rnacentral:rRNA from 1 species
AGCGCAGGCGGGAGAACAAGUUGGAAGUGAAAUCCAUGGGCUCAACCCAUGAACUGCUUUCAAAACUGUUUUUCUUGAGUAGUGCAGAGGUAGGCGGAAUUCCCGGUGUAGCGGUGGAAUGCGUAGAUAUUAGGAGGAACACCAGUGGCGAAAGCGGCUUUCUGGACGACAACUGACGCUGAGGCGCGAAAGCCAGGGGAGCAAACGG